rfam:Capsicum annuum cultivar Zunla-1 chromosome 12, whole genome shotgun sequence
AUGCUAUGAUGUGGACAUUUUCUUAAUAAUGCUUUUAAUCUUUCCCAAGCCUGAUAAACUAACUUAGUACUAUUCUUCAUGAAAUUAGAAAUAUCUUUCUUAACUUU